rnacentral:rRNA from 1 species
AGUGAACGCUGGCGGUAGGCCUAACACAUGCAAGUCGAACGGCAGCACAGUAAGAGCUUGCUCUUACGGGUGGCGAGUGGCGGACGGGUGAGGAAUACAUCGGAAUCUACUUUUUCGUGGGGGAUAACGUAGGGAAACUUACGCUAAUACCGCAUACGACCUACGGGUGAAAGCAGGGGAUCUUCGGACCUUGCGCGAUUGAAUGAGCCGAUGUCGGAUUAGCUAGUUGGCGGGGUAAAGGCCCACCAAGGCGACGAUCCGUAGCUGGUCUGAGAGGAUGAUCAGCCACACUGGAACUGAGACACGGUCCAGACUCCUACGGGAGGCAGCAGUGGGGAAUAUUGGACAAUGGGCGCAAGCCUGAUCCAGCCAUACCGCGUGGGUGGAGAAGGCCUUCGGGUUGUAAAGCCCUUUUGUUGGGAAAGAAAAGCAGCAGGUUAAUACCCCGCUGUCCUGACGGUACCCAAAGAAUAAGCACCGGCUAACUUCGUG